rnacentral:rRNA from 1 species
AUUGAACGCUGGCGGCAGGCCUAACACAUGCAAGUCGAACGGUAACAGGAAGCAGCUUGCUGCUUCGCUGACGAGUGGCGGACGGGUGAGUAAUGUCUGGGAAGCUGCCUGAUGGAGGGGGAUAACUACUGGAAACGGUAGCUAAUACCGCAUAAUGUCGCAAGACCAAAGAGGGGGACCUUCGGGCCUCUUGCCAUCGGAUGUGCCCAGAUGGGAUUAGCUUGUUGGUGGGGUAACGGCUCACCAAGGCGACGAUCCCUAGCUGGUCUGAGAGGAUGACCAGCCACACUGGAACUGAGACCCGGUCCAGACUCCUACGGGAGGCAGCAGUGGGGAAUAUUGCACAAUGGGCGCAAGCCUGAUGCAGCCAUGCCGCGUGUAUGAAGAAGGCCUUCGGGUUGUAAAGUACUUUCAGCGGGGAGGAAGGGAGUAAAGUUAAUACCUUUGCUCAUUGACGUUACCCGCAGAAGAAGCACCGGCUAACUCCG